rnacentral:lncRNA from 1 species
CCUAAUUCUGACGGCUGCUCCUCCUUCUUCUUCUUCUUCCUCUGAUACAAUGGUCCUUCAUUCUUUCCAUUUGCCCUAAUUCCGACAGCCACUUCUUCUUCUUCUUCCUCGCUUGAAUCCCUAUCUCCAGGAUAAAUACGACUUUUUCUUCCUCUCUCACACCAACUAAAAUACUCUGAAAUCAAUUCCAUCUUGUUCUUGGUUUAGCCUCAGAGCCCAAAACUCCUUUUUCGCAACAUCAAACUAGUCAUAGAUGAUUGAGAAUCACCUUGAAAUCUUUGUCCGAGAGCACGACACAAAAGGAACGCGAAAACCGUAAUGGAUUUGAUGAAGUCUUGGUUCAAAGAUUGACUUGAAGAGGGAUUCACAUCCACGGUUGUUCUCGUUUGGUUCAGUUUUCAUAAAUGGUUCAGAUUUUUUUUUUUUUUUUUUUGGUGUUUUGCACUAAUUUUGAAUCAUUUAAGUUGACUAUGGGCUUAAAAUUAAUGAUUGUUGUGGUGCUAAUUUCAUCUUUGAUAUUAUUUUUUCA